rnacentral:lncRNA from 1 species
AACAGUAGAAGCAGCCACCUUUGCUUUACCUGUGCUUGCCCUCAGGCCAAAGAGUGAGUACUCUGAGCUGGAUGAGGAUGAGUCACAGGCUCCCUAUGACCCCAACGGCAAGCCAGAGAGGUUUUACUACAAUGUGGAGUCAUGUGGCUCACUGCGCCCUGAGACCAUUGUCCUCUCAGCCCUGUCUGGGCUAAAGAAGAAGCUGAGUGAUUUACAGACCCAGUUAAGCCAUGAGAUCCAGAGUGACGUGCUCACCAUAAACUAGCCCGCCUGCUGCGGAGACUAGGUUCAAAGUUGACCGGAUUCCAGGCCCUGGGGCCCUUCUGGUUUCUGGGCUAAGGACUGCGCUUGCUCACGUUGCCUCCUGGAAGGACAUCGGAGAGAUGGCCAGGGGUUCCACUGGUGUUAGACAAGGCAGGUUUUAUAGGGGUUUAGCAUCCCUGGCCCUACAUAGUGGUUUUCAGGCAGCCUAGGGGGAAGCACACACUAGUACAGAAAAGGAGUAUUUAUUGAUCAACAGUAGCUGUCUUUUUAAAAGUUUUUAUUUUUGGCAAUAAAGAGCACAACAUAAUCUCCUUCAUGCGUCAUCGUGCUACUAACUGAGCCCGUUCUGCCUCCCUCCCAAGGGCUUAGGCCCAUUUCCUGUACAAACUAACUGACCUCUGGUGGUCGUUCCUGGGUCACAGUCAGAGUUGGGCUGGCUCUGCCACUUCCCUGGCUCCAGGGCCCCCUGAGAGAGGCCCCCUUAUCAUUCUGCCACACAUAUGAACAGUGGUUAUUUACAAGGUCUGUUCCCACAGAGCAGAUCCUAAAGUAUUAAAAAACAGAAACACGCAACAAAAGGUUGGAUGUGAAUAGAAAGAUAGCCCUUCUGCACGGUAGUCAAUAAAUACCAGCACUAGAAAAUCAGUUGCUUUAAUUGCAUUUCAGCAGGGAGCCUCAGCACCGUGUGGGGGAGAUGGGAAGGUCUUAGUUUUGGAAUCUGGCCUGGGGUGGCUGGCCC